CGAAGGGGCGUAGCGUUGCUCGGAAUCACUGGGCGUAAAGGGCGCGUAGGCGGACUCUUAAGUCGGGGGUGAAAGCCCAGGGCUCAACCCUGGAAUUGCCUUCGAUACUGAGAGUCUUGAGUUCGGAAGAGGUUGGUGGAACUGCGAGUGUAGAGGUGAAAUUCGUAGAUAUUCGCAAGAACACCAGUGGCGAAGGCGGCCAACUGGUCCGAUACUGACGCUGAGGCGCGAAAGCGUGGGGAGCAAACAGGAUU
rnacentral:rRNA from 1 species